GAGGACUACUAGGGUUUCUAAUCCCGUUUGCUACCUUGGCUUUCGUGCCUCAGCGUCAGAAAAGACCCAGUAAGCCGCCUUCGCCACCGGUGUUCCUCAAGAUAUCAACGCAUUUCACCGCUCCACCUUGAGUUCCGCUUACCUCUGUCUCCCUCUAGCACGGUAGUUUUGAGUGCAAUUCCUCAGUUGAGCUGAGGGCUUUCACACCCAACUUACCGCACAGCCUACGCACCCUUUAAGCCCAGUAAUUCCGAAUAACGUUCGUACGGUUCGUCUUACCGCGGCUGCUGGCAC
rnacentral:misc_RNA from 1 species